rnacentral:lncRNA from 1 species
GGAGUUGUUGACCUUACAGCGAUAGAUUCAAUUACUUCUUUAUUUGAAGCGGGAAGGAAUGUUCUUUUUGCGCGCAGGAAGUUGGCUUAGAGUCUCUUUCUUCUGUAAUUCUGUAAUAAAGUGAGGGAAAAGUCGGUAGAUACGAGUGGCCUCGCUCACUACUAGAAGGAAUGGAAUUAACCACGAAGCUAUCAGGCAAGCAGUGUAACUAGUGGGCAAUUUCGAUUAGAAGAAAAUCACCAAAAGAUUCAAAAAAGUGAACAACAAGAGAUCUUUCCACUAUACUGACUCAGUACACACACAGUAGAGGAAAGCCUACUUCAUUCUAUCUGUUCUUAUUAAGGAUUGAGCUGUUCUUAUUAAGGAU